AUUUAAGAAGGGGACUGGUGAAAAAAUUACGGUACUACGCCACUCCCCUUCUUCUCUAUGAAGAAGACUCGUUCAAUUUCAGAUUCACCGUUCUUUCCAGUGGCAUGCGUCUCUUAUUCACCUUCGCCUUCUCCAAGAUGAUGCGCGCCUUCAAGCAGGACUUUCAUUCCAGAUUACUGAAGAGAGCUUGCAAAAUGCUUUCAAAAGCUUUGAUCAACUUGUAUAAGUCAAUUUGGCGAUGGAUAAGGUAGCCAAUUGACCAAGAGGAUUUGCCUUCCUCCGUUAUGCUACUGAAGAGGAAUCUCAAAAAGCUAUUGAAAGAAUGCACCGCCAGGUAAUUUAAAACCUCCAUCUCUGCAAUCUCCACCCUGUCUAACCUCUUACAAAUGCGUUUAGUCUUCAUAAUUUAUAUUUUUGUUGACUUAAUCGCCAAAAUCCACUUAAUGCUCAAAGUGUGCGUCGCGAAGUGAUGUCUCAUUUGAAUUAGCCAAUCUUAAUGCUCUUUUCUUAUUCGCUGUGAUUUUGUAAUGAAUGUGAUUCGCUGUCCAUAAGUAUAUUUCCUUUAGCCGAAGACAGAUCCAUCUAUAAGAGCUCUAAAUGACUAUACUCUAGUAAUUGCGAAGUUCAGUUCCGUUAACUGUCAUCUUGAGCAAGCCUUUGUAGUACAGUUCCUCAACCUUAUGAUAUACAAUUAUAGAAUGCACAACUAGAUACUACGAAAAAUUAUAAAUGGACUCUAGUUUAGGCAUUACAAAGCAGCAAAAUUACCCUUCAAAUUCUCUAUAAAUUUAGCUAGAGAAUAGAUAUCUAGAUAGGAGUUGGAUAUAAUAGUUUUGAGGUAGCAUCGGAGAUCCAUGUAUUCUUAAUAUUGCUUCAUUUCCCAGUUGUGGAACAUUAUAACCAAAAUAUCAAACGUUUCUAGAAUACUCGACAUGAUGUAGUCAAUUGUAAUAAAAUUCAGUUUAAUUUAU